CCUACGGGCGGCAGCAGUGAGGAAUAUUGGUCAAUGGACGAGAGUCUGAACCAGCCAAGUAGCGUGAAGGAUGACUGCCCUAUGGGUUGUAAACUUCUUUUAUAUGGGAAUAAAAUGUUCCACGUGUGUGAUUUUGUAUGUACCCUAUGAAUAAGGAUCGGCUAACUCCGUGCCAGCAGCCGCGGUAAUACGGAGGAUCCGAGCGUUAUCCGGAUUUAUUGGGUUUAAAGGGUGCGUAGGUGGAUGGUUAAGUCAGUUGUGAAAGUUUGCGGCUCAACCGUAAAAUUGCAGUUGAGACUGGCAGGCUUGAGUACAGUAGAGGUGGGCGGAAUGCGUGGUGUAGCGGUGAAAUGCUUAGAUAUCACGAAGAACUCCGAUUGCGAAGGCAGCUCACUGGACUGCAACUGACACUGAGGCUCGAAAGUGUGGGUAUCAAACAGGAUUAGAUACCCGGGUAGUC
rnacentral:rRNA from 1 species